rnacentral:rRNA from 1 species
UACGUAGGUGGCAAGCGUUGUUCGGAAUUAUUGGGCGUAAAGGGCGCGUAGGCGGCUUGUUAAGUCGGCUGUGAAAGCCCGGGGCUCAACCCCGGAGGGUCGGCCGAUACUGGCGAGCUAGAGUACGGAAGAGGGUAGUGGAAUUCCUAGUGUAGGAGUGAAAUCCGUAGAUAUUAGGAGGAACACCGGUGGCGAAGGCGGCUGCCUGGACCGAUAUUGACGCUGAGACGCGAAAGCGUGGGGAGCAAACAGG